UACCGGCAUCCAAUUGGGGAUGACCGAAGGACCAAUCGGGGUCAACAGA
rnacentral:ncRNA from 1 species